ACAGAAUUUCAGAAUUGACAGUUUGACACAAACUUCUAUAUUUAUCUCUUCAUUUGACACGAGUUAUUUAUUUAUUUAGUUAUAAUUCUUGAACAUGUACAUCUAUGUAUCACAGGGAUGUCUUUCACAACAUAGCAGUCCAGCUAUAGGCAUAACAGAGCAUUCACAAUCACAGGUGAUACAUCAAGAGCAAGCAGUUAUUUAUCGCAGAAUACACCAAACAUUAGUUCCACUGAAGAAGCAGAAAUUGAAGAACAAAGGUAGCGAUAACCAAUGGGUUCUACCUGCAUCCUGGUCUGGAGCAUAACCUCCUGUAGGUGGAGUGCAGCUGACUGCUGGAGUACAAUUGAGAUCCAACAAAGGUGGAGUGCAAUUGAGUGAUGUUGCAAGGUUGUCUGGCCGGAGCCAGAGACGAACAUGGCGGAGGCGAGCAACAACAAUUUGUUAGCGGCAGGAGCCUGGAGCAACUGGAGCGGAGCUGUGCGUGCUGGAGAUCGAGGCGAUCCUGGUGUCCUGGGCAGCGAGGAAGAGG